CGACCCCAGGUCAGGCGGGAUCACCCGCUGAGUUUAAGCAUAUCAAUAAGCGGAGGAGAAGAAACUUACAAGGAUUCCCCUAGUAACGGCGAGCGAACCGGGAUCAGCCCAGCUUGAGAAUCGGGCGGCAUUGUCGUUCGAAUUGUANUCUGUAGAAGCGUCCUCAGUGACGGACCGGGCCCAAGUCCCCUGGAAGGGGGCGCCAGAGAGGGUGAGAG
rnacentral:rRNA from 1 species